rnacentral:lncRNA from 1 species
UAAAGAUUUAGGUCAUUUGUAUAUUUGAUGACAAUAUCAAUUAUGUCUUUUAGGAAGCAUGAAGUACACAUUUAAUAUGGAAUGAGAAAGGGUAGGAGAUCGGGAGAAAGAAAGGUCAAGUCCUUGACGUCAGUAAAGGAUGGUUGUGGAGAAUGGGAAAGUGAACUUAGAGAAUGUCUAGCUCCACAGUGAGAGCCUAUCAAACUAGUAAGUCACGAGUGACCAUGAGCCCUGGCUUCAGCUCUCAGUGGAACAGCAGCCAACCAGCCUGGAACACAUACUCCUUUCCAAGAGCCAGCCUGCACUACCAGUCCCAUGCCAGCUAUACCUACUGUACUGGACACCCUGCUUUGCUGGGAAGGACUAGGAGUCUGGCAAACCCUCUGGCUCAGGUGCGACAAUCUCAUGUUGCUGAUGUGACCCUCGCCAGCCACCACUUGGGGCCAGUGAGUAUACCCCAUAGGCAGAGAGACACAGGCUCAUCUUAGUUUAAUAGCAAG